UGGGGUGACAGCGUGCCUUUUGAAGAAUGAGCCUGCGAGUUAGUGAUACGUGGCGAGGUUAACCCGUGUGGGGAAGCCGUAGCGAAAGCGAGUCUGAAUAGGGCGAUUGAGUCGCGUGUCCUAGACCCGAAGCGGAGUGAUCUACCCAUGGCCAGGUUGAAGCGCGUGUAAGAGCGCGUGGAGGACCGAACCCACUUCAGUUGAAAAUGGAGGGGAUGAGCUGUGGGUAGGGGUGAAAGGCCAAUCAAACUCCGUGAUAGCUGGUUCUCCCCGAAAUGCAUUUAGGUGCAGCGUCACGUGUUUCUUCCCGGAGGUAGAGCUACUGGAUGGACGAUGGGCCCUACAAGGUUACUGACUUCAGCCAAACUCCGAAUGCCGGGAAGUGAGAGCGUGGCAGUGAGACUGUGGG
rnacentral:rRNA from 1 species